CGGCAGCGGCUGAUCUGCCAUUCUAGCGAUUCCAGCUUCAUGCAGGCGAGUUGCAGCCUGCAAUCCGAACUGAGAACGGUUUUUUGCGAUUGGCUCCCCCUCGCGGGUUAGCGACGUAUUGUACCGUCCAUUGUAGCACGUGUGUAGCCCUGGAAUAAAAGGCCAUGAGGACUUGACGUCAUCCCCACCUUCCUCCAGCUUACCGCUGGCGGUCUCCUGCGAGUUCCGCCCUUUCGGGCAUGGCAACACAGGACAAGGGUUGCGCUCGUUGCGGGACUUAACCCAACAUCUCACGACACGAGCUGACGACAGCCAUGCAGCACCUCGACUGGACCCCCUUGCGGGGUAAAAGUGUUUCCACCUCCGUUGACCAGCCGUUCGAGCCCAG
rnacentral:rRNA from 1 species